GACGAACGCUGGCGGCGUGCUUAACACAUGCAAGUCGAACGGAAAGGCCCUGCUUUUGUGGGGUGCUCGAGUGGCGAACGGGUGAGUAACACGUGAGUAACCUGCCCUUGACUUUGGGGUAACUUCAGGAAACUGGGGCUAAUACCGGAUAGGAGCUCCUGCUGCAUGGUGGGGGUUGGAAAGUUUCGGCGGUUGGGGAUGGACUCGCGGCUUAUCAGCUUGUUGGUGGGUAGUGGCUUACCAAGGCUUUGACGGGUAGCCGGCCUGAGAGGGUGACCGGCCACAUUGGGACUGAGAUACGGCCCAGACUCCUACGGGAGGCAGCAGUGGGGAAUAUUGCACAAUGGGCGGAAGCCUGAUGCAGCAACGCCGCGUGCGGGAUGACGGCCUUCGGGUUGUAAACCGCUUUCGCCUGUGACGAAGCGUGAGUGACGGUAAUGGGUAAAGAAGCACCGGCUAACUACGUG
rnacentral:rRNA from 1 species